rnacentral:rRNA from 1 species
CACUGGAAAUUUUAUUUCUAGUGAUUGGAAUGAUGGGAAUUUAAACCCCUUUCAGAGUAACAAUUGGAGGGCAAGUCUGGUGCCAGCAGCCGCGGUAAUUCCAGCUCCAAUAGCGUAUAUUAAAGUUGUUGCAGUUAAAAAGCUCGUAGUUGGAUGUCUGCUGGAAGCAAUCAGUCCGCCCUAUUUGUAGGGUGUGCACUUGAUGAAUUCUGGCAUCUAUGUCCCAAUAAUAUGAUGGUGUAUACCCUGUGUAUACACCCAUCUAUAUUGGGAUAAUACCGUUACUUUGAGAAAAUUAGAGUGUUUGAAGCAGGCUAAUUGCCUUGAAUACUGCAGCAUGGAAUAACAAUAUAGGAUUUCGGUUCUAUUUUGUUGGUUUCUAGGACUGAAAUAAUGAUUAAUAGGGACAGUUGGGGGCAUUCGUAUUUAACUGUCAGAGGUGAAAUUCUUAGAUUUGUUAAAGACGAACUACUGCGAAAGCAUUUGCCAAAGAUGUUUUCAUUAAUCAAGAACGAAAGUUAGGGGCUCGAAGACGAUCAGAUACCGUCGUAGUCUUAACCAUAAACUAUGCCGACUAGAGAUA